UGGGGAAUUUUGGACAAUGGGGGAAACCCUGAUCCAGCCAUCCCGCGUGUGCGAUGAAGGCCUUCGGGUUGUAAAGCACUUUUGGCAGGAAAGAAACGUCAUGGGUUAAUACCCCGUGAAACUGACGGUACCUGCAGAAUAAGCACCGGCUAACUACGUCCCAGCAGCCGCGGUAAUACGUAGGGUGCAAGCGUUAAUCGGAAUUACUGGGCGUAAUGCGUGCGCAGGCGGUUCGGAAAGAAAGAUGUGAAAUCCCAGAGCUCAACUUUAGAACUGCAUUUUUAACUACCGGGCUAGAGGGUGUCAGAGGGAGGUGGAAUUCCGCGUGUAGCAGUGAAAUGCGUAGAUAUGCGGAGGAACACCGAUGGCGAAGGCAGCCUCCUGGGAUAACACUGACGCUCAUGCACGAAAGCGUGGGGAGCAAGCAGG
rnacentral:rRNA from 1 species